CGGACGGGUGAGUAAUGUAUGGGGAUCUGCCUGAUGGCGGGGGAUAACUACUGGAAACGGUAGCCAAUACCGCAUAAUGUCUACGGACCAAAGCGGGGGACCUCCGGGCCUCGCGCCAUCAGAUGGACCCAUAUGGGAUUAGCUAGUAGGUGAGGUAACGGCUUACCUAGGCGACGAUCCCUAGCUGGUCUGAGAGGAUGACCAGCCACACUGGAACUGAGACACGGUCCAG
rnacentral:rRNA from 1 species